GACCAGCUGGGCUGGUGCCCAGUACGUGGCGGACCCUGGCGGCGCUAGCCUCAGCGACCAGCCCGGGAGAAGAUGCCGCAGGAAUUUGAUUCAAAUUCCCAUGACAACACCAUGCCCUUAAUAUAACA